GAAUAUAACAAGAAGAGCAACAAAAAUAUACGUGGUUCGGCUUAGCCUCUCAAAAAAGUAUAAAAGAAAGUGCUAAAUUAUGUAAAAUAAUUGUUUUUGCAAAAAAACUAACUGUCCCUAGAGUAAGUGGCAAAGAUCUUGGUGGUUGGUCCCCAAGGUUCCAAAAUCGAAUCCUAGUUGAUUCACAUUUCUAGCUAAGUUUAUUUUCAAAUGAAAAAAAUAAAGCGGGUAUCGUGCUACCUAUUUCUCAAAAAAAAAAUUGUUUUUGCAAAAAAUGUUAAGUUGAAAAAAAAAUGAUGUUUUUAUUAUUCAAUGCUUCCCUCACGUUUAGACUUGAGAAUGAUAUUUUUAUUAUUUAACAUAGACUUUUUUUUUAAA
rnacentral:lncRNA from 1 species